UACGGAGGGGGCUAGCGUUGUUCGGAUUCAUUGGGCGUAAAGGGUGCGUAGGUGGCGCCGUAAGUCGGGUGUGAAAUUUCGGAGCUUAACUCCGAAACUGCAUUCGAUACUGCGGUGCCUGAGGACUGGAGAGGAGACUGGAAUUCAUGGUGUAGCAGUGAAAUGCGUAGAGAUCAUGAGGAAGACCAGUGGCGAAGGCGGGUCUCUGGACAGUUCCUGACACUGAGGCACGAAGGCCAGGGGAGCAAACGGGG
rnacentral:rRNA from 1 species